rnacentral:rRNA from 1 species
ACGGAGGGUGCAAGCGUUAAUCGGAAUCACUGGGCGUAAAGCGCUCGUAGGCGGUUUGGUCAGUCAGACGUGAAAGCCCACGGCUUAACCGUGGAACUGCGUUUGAUACUGCCAGACUUGAGUGUCGGAGAGGGUGGCGGAAUUCCGGGUGUAGGAGUGAAAUCCGUAGAUAUCCGGAGGAACACCAGUGGCGAAGGCGGCCACCUAGACGACAACUCACGCUGAGGAGCGAAAGCGUUUGGUGCAUGCAG